rnacentral:lncRNA from 1 species
CAGCAGGCUCAUGCACCGGCAACACGUACUGUACCAAUUUUUUUUUCCGUGAGAGCAUGCACGGAUGCACCACGCCGCAUGGUGAGAGUCACGAAGUUGCCGAAAUGAUUGGGUCUUGAAACAGGGAUCGUGAAACGUGGUACGCAAUUAGCUCUUUGAGAAAGAAUUUUUUUUUUUCUAUUAUCGAGAUGAAACUGAUCCAUAUUUCUGGAACGGAAAUGCACGCACAACAUGGCACUGUAUCACGUUUCAGGUGAUUGUGCGCGUGGUCACGUACGUAGCACGAACAAGGUUCCCAAUGCAAGGCAAGCGUGACCAUCCAGAAAACGAUACAAAGGCCAGGUAGGAGUAGGAAACGAGAUAGCAAGGGACGUGCUAGCUAGCCUAGCAGCAGUCGGAUGAAUGAAGCUCACAAAUGUGUGGACGUUGAUGUACGAUGUUACUCGUUUUUUUUGGUCAUUUGAGACAUAGAACCCAAAUUAAGAUCGUGUCUAACAUGAGUCCAAACGGCUUCAGCUUCUUGUUGCAAUGGGCAGAGGAGCUAGAGCCGGUGAAACCAAAGAAACUAGCAGAAUUUUCCGCGCGUUGUUGCGGGUACGAAGGAGGAAUAUAAAUAUGACCUCACUAUAGUCUAUCGAGUCAUCUAUAUAUAAUUUUAGUAGUCAGCUUCUGAACAGGAAGAGAGAUCAUGUAAGAGAAUAAUUGCUAGCAGUAUGCAUGCAUGGUCAUGUGUAUGUAGCUGCAUUCACUACUGAAACUAAUUGUGAGUGGGCAUUUAAUUGCAUGCGGCAGCCGGAGAAGUGGAUGAUGAUGUGGCGCAAGGAGGUGCAAGAGAAUUACCUUAGUGGGGUUUGUCUUUAUAGGAUAUAUAGAUAGUAGAUUCACAAACUAUUACUUCCUCCAUCCCAAACUAUAAGACAUUCUAAAAAUAUUAGAGAGUCAAAGCAUCUUAAGUUUGAUUAAACUUAUAGAAAAAAUUAUAAAAAAUUAUGACAUCAAAAAGAUAUACCAUGAAAAUAUAAUUAAUGAUUAACCUAAUGAUACUUAGUUUAUCAUAUAAAUUUGGUUAAACUUAAAAUAUUUUAACUCUCCAAAAUUCUUGAAUACCUUAUAAUUUAGGAUGGAAGGAGUAGUUCAUUUUAAAAAGAGAAAAAAAUAAUUUCUCCUUAGUUCUAAAUUUUUUUUUGGAAAAUCGACAUUGUUAUUUGACAAAUAUUGUCCAAUCAUGGACUAACUAGGCUCAAAACAUUCGUCUCGUCAAUUCCGUCUAAACUGUGUAAUUAGUUUUUAUUUUCGUAUAUAUUUAAUACUCCAUGCAUGCGUCUAAAGAUUCGAUGUGACGAAGAAUCUAAAAAAAUUUGCAAAAUUUUUUGGAAACUAAACAAGACCUUAUGCGCAGAGGAGCCAUGGCCUGAAGCCCUAACGAGGCCUUUAUACUCCUCUUUUAGCAAUGUUUGUUGCACUCUUAUCUCUUGCACAUUAAAGCGGUUUUUAAAGAUUAGUAAGGCAAUAUUAUAUCAGUAUUAAAUAUAAAUAUUUGUUAUACCACUAGUGAUAAAGUAGUACAUGGUAUAGGUAGUCCACUACAUUAUGAUAUACCAAUUCAAUGUCUUCCUAAAAAUAUUUUUGUCUUUUAUAAUACUACAAAGAAAAGUAGACCCAUAUGAGUUCAAUCCUCGAUUUGUGACAUAUAUGAUCUCACUUUGUUUCUAUCUAUUUCAAGAUCUAAAUGCAUUUUCAAUGAUAGACGACAUGCCUAUUGAUAGUAGUAUGUACCGUGAUUUGCUAAAAAAAAAGAAAAGAAAAACUCCAUUUAAUUAGAAAAGAAAAAAGAAAACUCCCAUUUGAAUUACUUCUGCAGUGUCCUCGCUCAAUUUCUCAACUAGGAACUCUACAGAACGGUCAACUACUCAUUUUUUAAAAUUACAUAGUACAAUAGAGAGCUCAUACAAAAAAAGGUACUCAUAUUAAUUAUACCUUGUUUUAUUUGGGCAACUUAUAAUUGCAUUCUUUCUUCUAAAUUGAAAGACAACUAAACAUUGUACUGGGUAAUAGUGGUAGUAAUUAAAUAUGAAUAGAAAUUUUGCAAUACAGAUACGUAUUAGACCAAAGUCAACUUUGACUAGUACAUUUUUAACAUAAUACUUUUAAAAUAUAACAAAAGUAUGCUUUUAUGAGUCUGCAAUUCAAGAUAAUCGAUUCCAUAUUGUUUUCAAAUUCCAAAUUCAACACAUAAAAUGCAAUGUGUAACAAAAAUUUGAAAUACUAGACUUAGGAAAACCCUUGUGAUGUCACCUAUAUUAUAUAUAUAUAUAUAUAUAUAUAUAUAUAUAUAUAUAUAUAUAUAUAUAUAUAUAUAUAUAUAUAUAUAUAUAUAUAUAUAUAUAUAUAUAUAUAUAUAUAUAUAUAUAUAUAUAUAUAUAUAUAUAUAUAUAUAUAUAUAUAGGGAAGUUUCUUUCUACAUGUACGUGUAGUUACUCUCAUCUUCAAUAAACUACAUUAUGUAUGUAUUCAUACUUGUUUAUCGGUUUGAGUAUGCUUAUAUACUCAUAUUAAGAUACUCUAAAUCUUACCACAUGAUUUUUUUUAAAAAAAUAUAUUUUAAAUAUAUUACUAAAAUGCCACUACUAUAUUAUAUACAAUAAGUAUAACCAUAUACUUUAUGUAUGUAUGCAUACUUAAUAUACAUAUCACUCUAGAUGGUCUAGUAUGAUCAUAUACUUUGUCUAUAUAUAUUUCGUCC